GACGAACGCUGGCGGCGUGCUUAACACAUGCAAGUCGAACGGAAAGGCCCUGCUUUUGUGGGGUGCUCGAGUGGCGAACGGGUGAGUAACACGUGAGUAACCUGCCCUUGACUUUGGGAUAACUUCAGGAAACUGGGGCUAAUACCGGAUAGGAGCUCCUGCUGCAUGGUGGGGGUUGGAAAGUUUCGGCGGUUGGGGAUGGACUCGCGGCUUAUCAGCUUGUUGGUGGGGUAGUGGCUUACCAAGGCUUUGACGGGUAGCCGGCCUGAGAGGGUGACCGGCCACAUUGGGACUGAGAUACGGCCCAGACUCCUACGGGAGGCAGCAGUGGAGAAUAUUACACAAUGGGCGGAAGCCUGAUGCAGCAACGCCGCGUGCGGGAUGACGGCCUUCGGGUUGUAAACCGCUUUCGCCUGUGACGAAGCGUGAGUGACGGUAAUGGGUAAAGAAGCACCGGCUAACUACGUG
rnacentral:rRNA from 1 species